AGUGCCUUGCCCAAGGACGCAAAGUCAUUUGGCAUGGUCGGGAAUCGAAACAACAACCUUCUGAUUAAUAGCCCGACUCCCUAACCGCUCAGCCAUCUGACCCCCAGACCAUAGACAUGUCUAUGAGCUACACGAGUCAUCCUGGGAUGUCAAGACACAGGAAACAACAGUGGAAUGACGAGGAACGUACCUGUGCAAGGAGGACGGCCACCAAUUUCAUCAACCCUACAUCUUUCAAAGACUGCAUGUACAGUACAUGCAAUAUCAAUGGAUGGUCUAUCUCAUAGACCUGACUACAAGAGAAUUCGGAAGGAUUGACACGUGUCUGGUAUCGCUGUCUCUCUGGUCACUGCAGAGAGACAGAGAGAAGUGAUUAAGGACGAUCCGUCACUCCUCACAGGCAUACGGAGUUUCAGAUCAGCACCGCUGAAGGAGAGCUGAGGAGGAGACCAGCUCAAAAGGAUCUCAGCAAUCUGUUUCAAAACUUUCCUUCCUUGACUUCAAUCCCUACAUGCAUGGAUAUGCACACACCAGGAAGGAGGUGUUGAUGUGUGUGGUCUCGGAUAAGGACGAAGCUGCAAAAAGGCAGAGUUGACAGGAUAUGAUGUUCUGUGGCCAGGGUUGACAUUGUUUGCAAGCCUGUGUGGUCCAUUGGACCGGAAAGUACUGUUUAGGAGGUGCAAACAAGUUGAAAGAAAACAAAUUUAUUUCUUCAUCAAUCUAUAAUUAUUGGUCACUUGAACCAGACAUCACCAGACAGAGACGCAACAAUAGAGACAA